AUUUUGUCUUUGGAAUUCAGAUUUCCCAUUUCCCAAGCCUCGAAACCAUUCUGAGAAACUCUCUUCUUUUCCAGAUAGAGAACAAACAUCCCAUGAAAGGACAAUUCCUCUGCAAAUUUGUUGUUUUUCAGUUAUUUAAGUUGCAUUCAAUUCUUCAUGAUACCAUUUGAGCUUUCUUGGCAAGAUUCUAUAGUGGUUGCUAUUUCCUUUUUCAGCUCAUUUUACAGAUGAGGAAAAUGAGGCAAAUAGGAUUAAGUGACUUGCCCAGAGUCACAUAGAUAACAUGUGUAGGAGACCAGAUUUGAACUCAGCAAGAUUGUCUAAGUCAAAUGGCAAGACAAAAAUCAGAAUGACUGACCAUGGCUCAGAUACAGUGGAAGACCUUGGCAACUUUGAUGUCUGGACUAUCUCUAGGUGUUCCAUCAUUCCUUUUCCAGCCACUUUUUUGGUUAUUGGAACAAUUUAUUCUCAUCUGCCCAUUCUGUUCGGAGAAGUCUUCACAUAGAUGAAGAAAAUGAAGGAAACAUAAGUUGGUGAUUUGCAAAAGAUCACACAUCUACCAAGUCUCAGAGGUUAAAUCUAAAAUCAGGUCUUCCUUACUUCAGUUCCAUCAUUCUAUCCAUUGUGUCAACUAACUGCAAAGGAUAGAGAACAGUUUAAAAAAAAAGAAUUAUAACUCUUCCCCUGACUCUUUGAUGGUUUACCAUAUCACAGACGUGCAAAAGUAUUUUGAGGCAUUAUAUUCCUAACGAGGAAUCCUUUCUACAAAAUCUCUGACCAAAGGUUAAUGAUCCUCCCUUGAUAAUACUCAGAGCAGUCAGCAUCUCCUGAGGCAGACCAUUCCAUUUUUUAAAACCAUUUUUUAUAAUAAGUUUUUAUUUUAUCCAGAUUACCUGCCAAUCUAAUUUUUCAAAAUUUGUUUUCUCAUAUUUUGCAAUCCAUAUUCUGUUUCCCUCACCCCUUCUCAAGAAUGCAGGUAAUAUGAUAAGAGUUGAACAUAUAUGACCAUAUAAUACCUGUUUCUAUAUUUUUCAUGUCCUGAAAGAAAGCACAUGUUGUUUUCACUGGAGAAAAUUCAUGGAGGAAAUAAAAAGUUGUAUGUUUCAUUUUGGAUUCA
rnacentral:lncRNA from 1 species